UACGAAGGGGCUAGCGUUGUUCGGAAUCACUGGGCGUAAAGCGCACGUAGGCGGACUUUCAAGUCAGGGGUGAAAUCCCGGGGCUCAACCUCGGAACUGCCUUUGAUACUGUUGGUCUUGAGUCCGGAAGAGGUGGGUGGAAUUCCUAGUGUAGAGGUGAAAUUCGUAGAUAUUCGGAAGAACACCAGUGGCGAAGGCGGCUCACUGGACCGGCAUUGACGCUGAGGUGCGAAAGCGU
rnacentral:rRNA from 1 species